GGGGAUUAGUCCGAGGCGGAGUGCUCCGUCGACCUCAAGCUCGGCGGGCUAGGCGAGAUCGGGGCGGCGGACGGCACAACCACGAAGGAGCCGGUGGCUGCAACCGCAGCUCCGUCCGCCACCCCGAUGAAGCGCCCGCGCUUGCGGCCCGGCGGCGCCGGCGGGGCGCAGUGCCCGUCGUGCGCGGUGGACGGCUGCAAGGCCGACCUGAGCAAGUGCCGCGACUACCACCGCCGCCACAAGGUCUGUGAGACGCACUCCAAGACGCCCAUCGUUGUCGUCACCGGCCGCGAGAUGCGCUUCUGCCAGCAGUGCAGCAGACACCCAAAUCUCUCUUCAGCACACAAUAAAGCAGGAGCUGUUCAAGAACGCUGGCUAUGUCGAAGGCUGUUUGUAGAGGGCCAUGGCAUCAUGGCAUGGGAGGAAGAAGAAGAGGAUGCAACAAUAAAUUAAUCUUAAGUAGCGGUGGAAGCAACAACAGUAGUAUCAGUUCAGGUCCAGUAGCGGAAAAGGCAGGCAGGGCAAAGAUUUGGGAGGCCUUUUCAAUCCAUCUCCCCCAUCAUAACCCACUUUGAUCUAUCCAUGUUAGCAGUACAUGUUCGUCCAUCCUAUAGCAUCAUGCAGGAUGCAAAGGUUUCCCUGUGCUGCUGAAUCUUUCUCCUAUAUCUCUACUAUUCUAUAAGAGGUUCUAUAUUCAUAAGCAUGUUGUUGCACCACACAACCUUUUUGUUUUAUAUGUUGUCAUCUGAUCUCUGGUGAAAAGGAGGGAGAUGAGCUACGGAGGAAAUCUGAUGUUAUGGAACUCUAAGAAAAGUCUAGAUUUCCACAGGUCCAGUGGUGCCACUGAUGUCAAGUCAGCAGAAACGAUUCUUGAGCAUGAGUAUGCGUCGAUGCUCUUUUUCCCUGAGGCAAUGCUACUCCUAUGCACAGUGAUGUAGUAGCAACGGAGAACUGUCAUUAAUUGGAUACUUCUUAUCCUAAUUGCAGUCGUAUCAUUUAGCUUGGGGUUUGAAUUAUCGGAUUGCCCUACCAUACUGCUUAGCUAAAGCCCUUGUCAAAAUGCAUAAUUAGAAGCAACUAUUAAAGAAAGAUCAGCUUCAGAUAGAGUGAAGACGCGAGUGCAUUUUCCAGGGAUGGAAAGAAGGCAUGAUUUAUUUUCCUCCGACAUAUAAAUACUCAUUCAACUCGGAUCGUUACUCUGGUGUGCGGCCCAAAGAAAAUCGGAGGACACAUGCUUGGUGCGAUCACAUUCCGUGGCCUCUUGCAGUCGUCCUACAUCCGCGGAGAGUCUCGCUUCUUUGACCACGGACCAGUGUACAAUCUUUUCAUGGCUAAGGUUGGGAGUGUCCACCACAGAAGAUCGAACUUAACCUUGAUCAUGAUCUCUAGCGCUGAGGGAACAGUGAUAGAUUGAUAUGAGGUUUGUAGGUGUAAUUAUGUGUAUAAUAACCUUUUUUUAUUUUCCUUGCCCCUAUGGUGUAGUACCUGAAAAGCAAAAUGAUGUAUGUAUUUGUUGUUAAAUACUUUUCUAAUUCUAACAGUAAGAAAUUAAGGUUGUGCCGAUGCAC